AGUGAACGCUGGCGGUAGGCCUAACACAUGCAAGUCGAACGGCAGCACAGUAAGAGCUUGCUCUUACGGGUGGCGAGUGGCGGACGGGUGAGGAAUACAUCGGAAUCUACUUUUUCGUGGGGGAUAACGUAGGGAAACUUACGCUAAUACCGCAUACGCCCUACGGGUGAAAGCAGGGGAUCUUCGGACCUUGCGCGAUUGAAUGAGCCGAUGUCGGAUUAGCUAGUUGGCGGGGUAAAGGCCCACCAAGGCGACGAUCCGUAGCUGGUCUGAGAGGAUGAUCAGCCACACUGGAACUGAGACACGGUCCAGACUCCUACGGGAGGCAGCAGUGGGGAAUAUUAGACAAUGGUCGCAAGCCUGAUCCAGCCAUACCGCGUGGGUGAAGAAGGCCUUCGGGUUGUAAAGCCCUUUUGUUGGGAAAGAAAAGCAGCAGGUUAAUACCCCGCUGUUCUGACGGUACCCAAAGAAUAAGCACCGGCUAACUUCGUG
rnacentral:rRNA from 1 species